ensembl:lncRNA
UGAAGGGUUCACCAUCAGGUUUUGGGGGCACAGCUCAGCCCAUGAUAGGGGUAUUAACAACCUCAGGUUUGGGGUAUACUGGCUGCCCACCCACCCAUCUGGCCGCUGGCAUGUCUGGGCUGCAGGAAUGUUUAGGGUCACAGAGGCUGAGUUUCUGAUGUGAAGAGGGGCCGGGUGGGGGACAUGUUGCCUGUGGGCCUGUCCUGAGCUGGGUUCACACCCCCACCCUUGUUGGUCCCCCCAGCCCUCCCAUCUGUAAGAAGAGCCACGUCCGCUGUUGAGCAGCUCUGCGAGCCCUGCCCACCACACACACAAGGGCUGAGCGCACCCACUCAGGAUGGGGACACUCAGAACGGGUAUCACAGGCCCCCCUCAGCAUGGGGCAGGGCCCUGUGUCCUGUUACCUGGGUCUGUCUGCCCACUGCUGGCCCUGCCUUCCUUCACACUGUUUGGGGGGCUGCAAUCUGGUGACUCAGAUUGUGAAGAAUCCACCCGCAAUGCAGGAGACAAGGGUUCGAGUCCUGGAUUGAGAAAAUCCUCUGGAGAAGGGAAUGGCUACCCACUCCAGUAUUCUUGCUGGAGAAUUCCGUGGACAGAGGAGGCUGGUGGGCUACAGUCCAUGGGGUUGCAUGGAGUUGGACACGACUGAGCGAUUAGCACUUUCACUUUCCUCCUCUGACUGUCUGUCUUCUGUGUUUCAGGCUUGGUGUUCACUUUUCUCUGCUGGGAGAAGGGGCCAUCCAGCCCAGAGCCUAGAGAAACAGGGAGAAGCGGAGAAACAGGGCCAUCAUGUGGCCCACGUAUGAGGGAGGUUUCAAAGUCCUCUUCUGAAGGAAGCCACCAUCAGGAGGCCAGGACCAGUCUGACCCACCCUCUGCGCUGUUAUUCUGGUGCAACUUCAUCCAAGGUCCUGAGGAUGCCCUCGACGCUCCCUUGACUUCAGUGACCCCAAAUGCUCUUUUCUUUAAAAACGUCACAAAUACAGGAUUGUUGGAUUUGAACCAGUGUCCACAGGUGCUGGGGUGUCAGGAUGCCACAGCAUCUGGCCACUUUCUCCAGCAUGAUCACGGCAAGGGAUGGGAGUUUGUGUGGGUAUAGAUGGCCUGCCACAGGGUUGCAAAGAGGUGGACACGACUUAGCAACUGAACAACACCAAAAAGACAACCUGCCACCUUGCGCCCCCCAGCUGCCCGGCAGAGGCCACCCUCCACUCUGUCUCUCCAGCCGUAAUUGUGUGCGGCUUUCUCAUUCCCGUCUUUGCAUCCUGGGGUUUCCCCCAAGGACUGAUGGAAUCACCACGGGAGCCUGGCAGGCCGGUGAACCAGGAGGGUCUCUGGGACUCCGGCCAGUGCCAGCUUCAGGGCUUGGCCUCGCCAACACAGUUGAUUAGAAGCCCUCCCACAGGCACCACUGUCCUUGACCAGGGAGGUGGAGGGCACCAGGCCAGUCUCCUUUUGGCAUUGAGGCUGGAGACAGUGAGAGGUCAAGGACAGGCAGAAAGAGCAGCCCUGUUGCUCCCUUCCAUGUUGACCUCCCUUUCCAGACGCCCCCACAAUGUGGGCAGCGGGGUGAGACCCAUGGCAGUGGCCGGCGGAACCCCGGAUGCAUGGUGCUACCCUGCCUCCUGCCUGCAGCCUUCACGCCCGUUGGGGGCCUGGAGGUGGUGGGUCUGGGCUUGGCGCUGUGCCAGUGGGAAGGACCACAAGGAGUUUGAACAAAGGCAACCAAGGGGAAGCAUCCAUCUAGCAAGUUCUGAGCUGUGUUUCUGCAAAGCUGUGCCUAAAUGGCAUUUUGGUAAGUUAAUUUCCCAUCGACUUGGUGGAAUUUGGGCAGUACUUUCUCUUUCUCUCAUCACGGUUGCGUUUCCCAGGUCGUGGUGGGCCCCUGAGUGGCAGGUGCACGCAUAGCUGCAUGCUGGCUGGGUGUCCUCGCCACGUGUGACACCCAGCGAGGUCAUCGUAAGAGGACUUUCCUGAAGGAUCGAGGAUGCGCUGGGGGUGACCCUGGGGGCUGGAGUCCAGGUCGGGGUUGGCUGUGGCCCUCUGGGCUCUUCCUGGGUCAACCAUGUCCUGGCUGCAUUAAGGCUCAGGGUCAGAAGUGUCCUUCACGUGGGAAGUGACCACAGGCUUUGGGGAGUGACCACAGGCUCUCUGAGACCCCACCCCUGCCCUCCAGGUACCAAUCAGCUUCAAACCCCACCUCUCUCCUGGGUCCACUGUGGCUCGCUGACCCUGUGGACUGUUCUCCAGGUGGCAAUCUGGCCUUUUCAAGUUGAGCUGCUCUGAACCCACGCCCCACCCACCUUGUCUCUCCCACGCUGCACCGCACCACCCCCACCUCCGCCAUUCUCUCUGUCUGGUCCUGGGGGGCAGAGUCCUGACCCCCAGCUGUGCUGACCUCUCUUGGGCAGCAGGGGGUCCCAGAGGCCCCAGCUUGGAGCGAUUAGGGCUGUCACAGGCACCCAAGCCCCCUCCUUGCAGGCUGCAUUUCUUGUCUGCUCUGCCAUGGAUAUCAGCCUGCUUUGGCCCAGAAGGGAGUGUCUCACUUCCAAGCAGAGGUGUUCAGGGCCCUUGUGUGGUCAGCAGGGUCCCGCUCUCUCCUGCUCUGGCCCUAGAGUAACUCCCUGGGCGACCCUCCCAGGCAGGGAGCGUGGUGGGGUGGGGGGCUGUCGUGAGAUCUGGGGCCUGCUGGGGACGCAGGGUGAUCCAGCCCACUCUGACCCCCAGGACACACACGGAAAUCAGGAAGGUGGCAAGACAUAGCUCCAAUCUCAGGGGACCAUGGCCCAGAGGCACCGGGGUUUUUAAAACUGCACCAAAAUGAAACUGGAGCUGCGCCACGGGCCUGGAUCUACAGAUGAGCAUGGCCUGGACUUUCCCUGUUUCUUUCUUUCUCCAGAAGUUCUUGGCGAGAGAGCUGAUUGUGUGAAAUUUUUUCCAGGCGAGGGUAAUUUCCAAUUAUUCUAUGAUAUUUGCAAACACUGCGAGAGCAAGCAGAUCUGUGCUGUGACGUUUUCCAAGAAAUAAAGUCUCUCCAAGUGGCCCUAACUGCUUCCUCCAAUGUUGCAGAGAGAACGGGGCCCUCUGCCUGCUCACUCGGCACCAGUCCUGCAGGCAGUCUCAGCAGGCAUCUCAGGC